AGGCUUUUUUUGGGGUGGGGGCAGGAAUCCUCACACUGACAAAAACUGAGGCCAGCGCAAAGUAACCAGAGUGCCGCUUCCUUGUUUUCCCCAUAACAGAGAAAUCCCAACGAGUAUGUCUCAGUCAGCAUAGCAGGCCUCAUACAAAGAUCCGUGCGGCAAAACACAAAGUGUGGACAGCACCGAGGAGCAACUUUUCAGUGGCACCACUUGCCUCUGUUGACCUGAAAUGCAACCACUACACUGGCCGCUGUCCUUAAACCCCGAGUGCAUCUGCUUGAGUAGUUCAUGCCGUGAGAAAAAAAAUAAAAGCUUAGCGCCUCCACAUGCAGGCAGAGGAUGACAGCACGGCACGGAGAAGACUUCAUACGCCAACUGCUUCUUGGAAACGUCAUUUCUUCCACUACUGACAAGGAUGCCGCCUGUCAUAUCUGAAGCUGAUUGAAACAUGAUUGUUUUUGUAAACAGUUGUUGACAUAAUGCAGUCGGUGGGCGUAAAGUUUCACAUACUGGCCAUAUCAAAUAAGUUUGACAUCUGUUAGCACCUGGUCACGUCCAAUCAGCCUCCAUCAGAUCAACACGGCAAAGACCGCACAGAACUGAUGCUUUUCCACUGAGACAGUAAUGUGAAUUACAAAGGAGUCCAGUGGUACGUCAUACACGGUGCUGACUGACUCACAGAUUUCGCAUUAAAAUGUCCAAACAGGUCCUAAGCACGUCCUCCACGGAGACAGACAACAAUUAUGUUAAUGGGUAAUGUGCCAGCCAGCCUCCUCAUCAAUGGAUCUAUUAACAUGACGGUAGAUAAAUGCAGGUAAUUACUACAGCCCAUCAAAGACCCACGAACAACGUUAGUGUAAGACCACUUCAACGCUUCAUGUUAGCCCAUUUCGGGUCUUCACAACCAGUCAUUAGAAAGCGCAAUCUCUAAACACACCACCACGACUUGAUGCUCAGGUACCAAACAAACUUAAUAAAAUAUUACCAGCGAGGUGGCUAAAGUUAGCAGGCUAGGCUACAAUCAGAGAUAGCAAGUUUAUCAGCCUCUCUGUUCUGUGCUGAGAAACCCAACUGAAGAUGAAAAGAACACAAGAAGAAAUUCUUCGACAGCCUAGGAGAGUUUGUCGCUCCAUGAAUAAAAUACAUUAAACCUGUCAAACAUCGAAGAAGCGCAAGAGCAAAUCGGAUAGCUAAGGUUGGUUCCAGUCUUUCGGCACGAGCUGUUUGUCUAUUGGUGACGACAGGCUAACUAGCUUGCUGACUGAUGAAGACUCUUGACAUCUCCCAGAAGGCUAGCCGUCGCUAAAAUGAAAGUGGGGCAGGCACAAUACACCGCCUCGCUGAAACCAUUCGAAACGGGCACACCACACCAAGAGAGGGAGCUCGACUUCUACAACUGGCGGAGUCAGAGCUGUCCGUCUCCCUCUGUUCGGUUAGUUCUACCGGGGAUGAGGAAAUAAAUGAGAGAGAGAUGUGGGGAAGAAUUGGCAUAGGACCCGGGCCGGAAUCAAACCCAGGUCCCCGGCAUAGUAGCCCAGUGCCCUACCGUUUGAGGACAUGAUUUUCUGCAGCUGUUCAGCAAUCUCAAGUGUCCCAUCCGGGCUUCCAUCAUCAAUGACUAUUAUCUCGUAGUCAUACCCACUGUACAACAUACAAAACAUUGAAUGAAUAGCGUUACCAAAUGAAACACAGGUGAAACUUUCAACUGUUUUCUGCUGGUCGUCCAUAAAAUAUGUCACAACUCUAAUGACAACAAAGUGAGUUGCAGUGGUUGUAUUCUGUCAACAACUAUUCAGCCAGCUAAACAAAUCUAUCGAGAACUUACGUGACAUAACAUAACAGAACAACACAUUCAUAACAAAACGUAUGAAUGUUUGGGAAAGGAAAUGCUGGUAAAUGUGACAAUGCUUUGUUAUUAGCCAACAACAAACAACCUGAACUCAAUUUGACAUCACUCAGUCACAUAGCAAAUUAGCUUCUACAACUUGAUGCAGUGAAAGAGGCAAAACCUGCAUGUCAGC